UACGUAGGGUGCAAGCGUUAAUCGGAAUUACUGGGCGUAAAGCGUGCGCAGGCGGUGAUGUAAGACAGGUGUGAAAUCCCCGGGCUUAACCUGGGAACUGCAUUUGUGACUGCAAGGCUAGAGUACGGUAGAGGGGGAUGGAAUUCCGCGUGUAGCAGUGAAAUGCGUAGAUAUGCGGAGGAACACCGAUGGCGAAGGCAAUCCCCUGGACCUGUACUGACGCUCAUGCACGAAAGCGUGGGGAGCAAACAGG
rnacentral:rRNA from 1 species